rnacentral:rRNA from 1 species
UACGUAGGGGGCAAGCGUUAUCCGGAUUUACUGGGUGUAAAGGGAGCGUAGACGGCAGGGCAAGUCUGAAGUGAAAGCCCGCGGCCCAACUGCGGGACCGCUUUGGAAACUGCCCGGCUAGAGUGCUGGAGAGGUAAGCGGAAUUCCUAGUGUAGCGGUGAAAUGCGUAGAUAUUAGGAGGAACACCAGUGGCGAAGGCGGCUUACUGGACAGUAACUGACGUUGAGGCUCGAAAGCGUGGGGAGCAAACAGG